UACGUAGGGUGCGAGCGUUGUCCGGAAUUACUGGGCGUAAAGAGCUCGUAGGUGGUUUGUCGCGUUGUUCGUGAAAUCUCACGGCUUAACUGUGAGCGUGCGGGCGAUACGGGCAGACUAGAGUACUGCAGGGGAGACUGGAAUUCCUGGUGUAGCGGUGGAAUGCGCAGAUAUCAGGAGGAACACCGGUGGCGAAGGCGGGUCUCUGGGCCGAUACUGACGCUGAGAAGCGAAAGCAUGGGGAGCGAACAGG
rnacentral:rRNA from 1 species